GAUGAAGAACGCAGCGAAAUGCGAUAAGUAGUGUGAAUUGCAGAAUUCAGUGAAUCAUCGAAUCUUUGAACGCACAUUGCGCCCCUUGGUAUCCCGAGGGGCAUGCCUGUUCGAGCGUCAUUUCACCACUCAAGCCUGGCUUGGUGUUGGGCGACGUCCCCUUUGGGGACGCGCCUCGAAACGCUCGGCGGCGUGGCACCGGCUUUAAGCGUAGCAGAAUCUUUCGCUUUGGAAGUCGGGGCCCCGUCUGCCGGAAGACCUACUCGCAAGGUUGACCUCGGAUCAGGCAGGGAUACCCGCUGAACUUAAGCAUAUCAAUAAGCGAAGGA
rnacentral:misc_RNA from 1 species